CUCUAGCCUUUGGGAAGAACAAAGUCAAACACUUGAUACUGCUGUCUGCAUAAGCAGCUGGUUUGGGCUUUGUUUGGGGGUUGGGGGUAGUAUUGAAUGCCACUGCGGUCUCUUCAGAUAGUUUCUGUUCCCUUUCCUCACACAGUUAGCAAGGUUCUUCUGCCAGGAUUAAUAUUCAGUUACUUUUCUUUAACAUGACCCUUGAAAAUCGGAUUCAGAUGCUGGAGAACAUCAAUAUCAAAACAAUGUAGUAAGAUGCUUCUCUGUGCCUUCCUCGCCACUAUAUGCUUUUCAGGUCCCUGCAAAGCCAUGGUAGGAUAAUUUACAGAGUCAAGCCUUCACAGCUAUACAGGAAAGCAGCAUGUACUGAAUGCCCAGGUUCUUCUUUCUGAAGAGAUUGGCCAUUAAUUGAGGUUGAGAAUUUUCCUUGACCUCUGCUGAGAUAUACAGGAAAAAUCCCACUAUAUGGACUUGAAAUUGAGCUAAAAUAGGUACAUAGGAAUCAUUUGGUUUCAUGGGAAAAAAAAAAAAAAAACACGUCUCCCGGGACUAUAGGGACCAAACCCCAGUCCAAAGCACAAACAUAUCCACAGAGUGUUUUCCUUUUUUUUUUCCACUUAUAAUUCCCUCAUGAAUGAUCCAUGAGAACAGGACCUGGAGAGGUGGAGAGUGUCCCUCUCACUACCUCAGCACAGUACCUGUCUUGACUGUUGCCUUCACAGCCUUUUUCUUCCUAGUGACAAUGAUCAGCACCUAUGUAGGAGAUUGAAUUAGGUUGGUCCCCCUAGGGUCAUGUGCUUCAAUACAAUUCCUAGUUGGGACAACAGUUUAGGAAGAAUUAGGCAGUAUAGUCUGGGGAAGAGCAGUGUCCCUGGGGCUGGGUUUACAGGUAUCAAAGCCCAGGCCAUUCCAAUUGAUUCUCUCUCUGCCUCCUACUUGUGGUCCAAGUGAGCUCUCAGCUGUUCUGUUCACAAUGGUUUUGAUGAUCCCAGUGGAUACUCAACUUGUAAAUGAGUUUAAAGCACACAUUCACUUCUAUACGUUUGCUGCCUGGGUCCAGGUGUCUUUUUGCAGCGAAUGUAAGGAACAUGCAGACCUUAGUAGCUAUUGCUUUAGUGGAUCCAAUGCACUGAAAUUUACUCAUUGAAAAGUCAAAGCCAGUGGAUAUUUUAGUGCCCUUUGCUGUCGAGUCAUUAAUAUAUAUUUGUGAAUGCUAAAGGCAUGUUAUUGAAGGGAAGGGCGAUCCACUGUCCUGGACACUUGGAGUACUUAUAAAUCUCAACCAUGACAACCAUGAGCGGUUAUCCUGCUAUCAGAGGCUUCAGAAAUGCAGCUUAUCCAAGCUGAAGCCAGUGCUGGCUGAAGCACAUAGAGAACAACUGCCCAAGUAACCCCUUCUUCUAAGUGACCCCACACGCUCUCCUGAGCAUGGAGCACCUGUGAAGUCAAUGUUGAAUAAGAUAGACUCAGGUAGACUAAUUCUGUGGUCUUUUGCUGAUUCCACAUCUGGGUUACACAGGUAUUUGUUUAUGUCUUCUCAGGCAAUGCCACCUUGGUGCACAUAUAAUGCUUUAAAGAGAAAAGAUACAGGAAUAUUGAUAAGAAUAUUUCAUUUAGAUCCUGGUUAUCAUGCUCUAUUAGCUUCAUAUGUCAGUCUGCAAUUUGCAAAAUGUAUUGAUGUUUAAUGUCUCAAUAAACAAUGUCAAGAUAGUGGCGAUACUUUAUGUCCGGCACUCUCUGCCCAAAUAGUUUUCUUUGACUCCUCCUCUUGCAGCAGGCCCUCCUCUAUUCUGAGGUCAAAGAAGUUUCCUACAGCAACAUACUGAGUAUCUAGCUGGAAAGGCUUUGAUGUAACGAGGACCUGGUAUAGAUUAAUUGUAGUAGGAUGGUGUAAUGUACAAGGUCAAUGUUGUGAUGAACACUGCCAUACAAGCAUACCAUUUCAUUUCUUAAUGCUUCCUGCCUGCUUUAGAGGACCUAGGUUCUUGGAAGAUAUGGGUGGGUGGGGGGUUGUGGCUUUUCUUCAGAGACUUUUGAAAUAACAGAAAGGAAACAGGAAACAACAGGGAAGCUCUCUCUUAUGCCCAUUCUGAUGAGACACCCAAUUUUCUGAGAGGGUGAUGAAGGUUUCCUUGUCCAAGUCUUCCUCAGGCGACAGUGGAAUUUCCUGUUCUGAUGUGCUCAUGUGUUCACAGGGGCAGACCCAUCUACAGAAUACAGGGCACAGGCAGUAUCUGCUCCUCCUCUUGGGACAGUGUAGAGCAAUGGAAAGCAUGGG
rnacentral:lncRNA from 1 species